rnacentral:rRNA from 1 species
UCGGGAAUUUUGGGCAAUGGGCGAAAGCCUGACCCAGCAACGCCGCGUGAAGGAUGAAGUAUUUCGGUAUGUAAACUUCGAAAGAAUAGGAAGAAUAAAUGACGGUACUAUUUGUAAGGUCCGGCUAACUACGUGCCAGCAGCCGCGGUAAUACGUAGGGACCAAGCGUUGUUCGGAUUUACUGGGCGUAAAGGGCGCGUAGGCGGCGUGGUAAGUCACUUGUGAAAUCUCCGAGCUUAACUCGGAACGGUCAAGUGAUACUGCUGUGCUAGAGUACAGAAGGGGCAAUCGGAAUUCUUGGUGUAGCGGUGAAAUGCGUAGAUAUCAAGAGGAACACCUGAGGUGAAGACGGGUUGCUGGGCUGAUACUGACGCUGAGGCGCGAAAGCUAGGGUAGCAAACGGGAUUAGAUACCCCCGUAGUCCCUGAGCGGGCUGGCAAGGCGCAU